rnacentral:rRNA from 1 species
GCAAGUCGAACGAGAAAACUGAUUAGUUUACUAAGAUGUUUUCUAGUGGCGGACGGGUUAGUAACACGUGAGCAACCUGCCUCGAAGCGGGGGAUAGCCUUCCGAAAGGGAGAUUAAUACCGCAUGUGGCCCCCUGUUAAAAGGGUGGUUAAAGGCGCCUUCGGGUGUCGCUUCGAGAUGGGCUCGCGGCCUAUCAGCUAGAUGGUGAGGUAACGGCUCACCAUGGCAACGACGGGUAGCUGGUCUGAGAGGACGAUC